rnacentral:misc_RNA from 1 species
UAGCGCCGGAUACGUGAACCGUACGUCCGGUGCAAUGGGAGGGGCGGAGCCAUUCAGCUCCCCUCUACCCUAAU